rnacentral:tRNA from 1 species
GGACAGGUGUCCGAGCGGCUGAAGGAGCAUCAUUGGAAAUGAUGUAUACGGGCAACCGUAUCGCGAGUUCGAAUCUCGCCCUGUCCG